UCAAACAAGAGCCAACCCGUUUCUAUCGUCCGCUUCUUGGGACAAGCUUUUGAAUUAGCAAGUUUCCACUUGAAAUUUUCAAGUUCAGAGUUGUUUUUCUGCAUCAUUUGUUCAACUGUCACAAUCCACACAAUAAGGCGUUUCUUUAGUGAAUUUUAGCAGAAGCUAUGCAAACACAAGCAUGAAACAUGAUAAAUUUGUCAGUCCUGAUGGCAAAAUAAGCAUUUGCAUAUCGCAGUGCAAGACAUGACACCACCUUAUCUUUUGGUUCUUAGAUAUAAGACCUAAUAAAUAUUUAUCAAACUUGUCCUUGUGUUACUUUGAAGUAAGUUUCUCGAUCAUGUCUCACACGACAAGACGGCUUGGGACAUUUUGUCAUCACUUGAGGAAAAUUGUUGAAGGUUGUGAUAUAAGGUUGAAAUGAGGCAAAGCAUACUUCUCAGCCAUCACAUUUUGAAACAACAAAAGGGUUAUUAAAGAAGCAAAACGCCUGCUUACAUUCCGCUUAUAGAGAGGACAACUUAAACUUUUACAAUACCAUCCUUAUCCUUGCAACUCAUUAUCGGUUUCUUGAUAAUAUUUUAGUAGUAUUUAAGAAGUAAAUU